UACGUAGGGACCAAGCGUUGUUCGGAUUUACUGGGCGUAAAGGGCGCGUAGGCGGCGCGGUAAGUCACUUGUGAAAUCUCUGAGCUUAACUCAGAACGGCCAAGUGAUACUGCAGUGCUAGAGUGUGGAAGGGGCAAUCGGAAUUCUUGGUGUAGCGGUGAAAUGCGUAGAUAUCAAGAGGAACACCGGAGGUGAAGACGGGUUGCUGGGCCAACACUGACGCUGAGGCGCGAAAGCCAGGGGAGCAAACGGG
rnacentral:rRNA from 1 species